rnacentral:rRNA from 1 species
GCACAAGCGGUGGAUCAUGUUGUUUAAUUCGAUGAUACGCGAAGAACCUUACCAGGUCUUGACAUCCCCCGCGAUGCUUUAGAGAUAAAGCGGAGGUAUUCGGGGAGACAGGUGGUGCAUGGUUGUCGUCAGCUCGUGUCGUGAGAUGUUGGGUUAAGUCCCGCAACGAGCGCAACCCCUAUUGCUAGUUACCAUCAUUAAGUUGGGGACUCUAGCGAGACUGCCAGUGAUAAACUGGAGGAAGGUGGGGAUGACGUCAAAUCAUCAUGCCCCUUAUGACCUGGGCUACAAACGUGAUACAAUGGCUGGAACAAAGGGAUGCGAAGCAGUGAUGUGGAGCGAAACCCAUAAAAACAGUCUCAGUUCGGAUUGAAGUCUGCAACUCGACUUCAUGAAGUCGGAAUCGCUAGUAAUCGCGGAUCAGCACGCUGCGGUGAAUACGUUCCCGGGCCUU